rnacentral:rRNA from 1 species
UACGCAGGGGGCUAGCGUUGCUCGGAAUGACUGGGCGUAAAGGGCGCGUAGGCGGCUUGCACAGUCAGGCGUGAAAUUCCUGGGCUCAACCUGGGGACUGCGCUUGAGACGUGUGGGCUUGAGUGGGGAAGAGGGUCGUGGAAUUCCCAGUGUAGAGGUGAAAUUCGUAGAUAUUGGGAAGAACACCGGUGGCGAAGGCGGCGACCUGGUCCUUGACUGACGCUGAGGCGCGAAAGCGUGGGGAGCAAACAGG